rnacentral:ncRNA from 1 species
CUCUUAUCGAGAGUGGCGGAGGGACUGGCCCUUUGAAGCCCGGCAACCUCGCUUGUGUACCGACACAAGCGGUAUGGUGCUAAAUCCAGCAGACUGUGAUGGUCUGACAGAUAAGAG